GAUGAACGCUGGCGGCGUGCUUAACACAUGCAAGUCGAACGGAAAGGCCACAGCUUACUGUGGUACUCGAGUGGCGAACGGGUGAGUAACACGUGGGUGAUCUGCCCUGUACUUCGGGAUAAGCUUGGGAAACUGGGUCUAAUACCGGAUAGGAAUCACAUGUGGGUGUGUGGUUGGAAAGCUUUUGCGGUAUGGGAUGAGCUCGCGGCCUAUCAGCUUGUUGGUGGGGUAAUGGCCUACCAAGGCGUCGACGGGUAGCCGGCCUGAGAGGGUGUACGGCCACAUUGGGACUGAGAUACGGCCCAGACUCCUACGGGAGGCAGCAGUGGGGAAUAUUGCACAAUGGGCGCAAGCCUGAUGCAGCGACGCCGCGUGGGGGAUGACGGCCUUCGGGUUGUAAACUCCUUUCGUCAGGGACGAAGCGAAAGUGACGGUACCUGGAUAAGAAGCACCGGCUAACUACGUG
rnacentral:rRNA from 1 species